rnacentral:rRNA from 1 species
UGGGGAAUAUUGCACAAUGGGGGAAACCCUGAUGCAGCGACGCCGCGUGAACGAAGAAGGUAUUCGUAUCGUAAAGUUCUGUCCUAUGGGAAGAUAAUGACAGUACCAUAGAAGAAAGCUCCGGCUAAAUACGUGCCAGCAGCCGCGGUAAUACGUAUGGAGCGAGCGUUGUCCGGAAUUAUUGGGCGUAAAGGGUACGCAGGCGGUUUAAUAAGUCGAAUGUUAUAGAUCGGGGCUCAACCCCGCAAAGCAUUGGAAACUGAUAAACUUGAGUAGUGGAGAGGAAAGUGGAAUUCCUAGUGUAGUGGUGAAAUACGUAGAUAUUAGGAGGAAUACCAGUAGCGAAGGCGACUUUCUGGACACAAACUGACGCUGAGGUACGAAAGCGUGGGGAGCAAACAGG